rnacentral:rRNA from 1 species
UAGAUCCCAGAAGGGAGAACCUCUGAUCCGCCCGCCGCGUGAGUGAUGAAGGCCUUCGGGUCGUAAAGCUCUUUGAUUGGAGACAAUAACGAUGGUAUCCAAAGAACAAGCCCCGGCUAACUCUGUGCCAGCAGCCGCGGUAAUACAGAGGGGGCUAGCGUUGUUCGGAAUUACUGGGCGUAAAGCGUGCGUAGGCGGCCUAAUAAGUCAGAAGUGAAAGCCCAAGGCUUAACCUUGGAAUCGCUUUUGAUACUGCUAGGCUUGAAGGUGGUAGAGGAUAGUGGAAUUCUUAGUGUAGGAGUGAAAUCCGUAGAUAUUAAGAGGAACACCAGUGGCGAAGGCGACUAUCUGGACCAUUCUUGACGCUGAGGUACGAAA